rnacentral:rRNA from 1 species
CGGGAGGCAGCAGUGAGGAAUAUUGGUCAAUGGACGAGAGUCUGAACCAGCCAAGUCGCGUGAAGGAUGACGGCCCUACGGGUUGUAAACUUCUUUUGUAUGGGAGUAAAAAAGACUACGCGUAGUCUAUUGCAAGUACCAUACGAAUAAGCAUCGGCUAACUCCGUG